rnacentral:lncRNA from 1 species
CUCCUGCCUCAGCCUCCCGCUUGCUGAGAUUACAGGCUUGUGCCACCACGUCCGGCUCAGUUGGUCCCUUUUGACAACGGAGGCAGGAGCUCAAUCUCAGUGACCAAUGGGGGAGGGAUGCCAUUCGGUUGCUAUGGCAACAAGACUCUGUCGCCCCCAUCCCCUGCUUCCCACUCUGUUAUUGGGUGGAACCUGCUCUUCCCAGGACCUGCCACACUGUGGUCACGCUUGGUGGCUUCAGUUCUACCUUCGAGUAGGAUGGGGGUUAGACGCUGAGGAACCCCUAGGACCCAAAGCCUUGACAAACAAACUGAGCAGAGAACCAAGGGUCACCAAGGCUGCCCGCUUGCCUGUAGGCGGCCUGCACCCUGCCUUAGGAUCUCUGGCCAAUCCCACACUGAGAGGAGAGGAGGAGGUCCAUUUGAGAGGUCGGGAGUUCCUUGUCUCCGGCUGAGUUCCACAGCACAGGCCAACAGGCCACCACCUGUGGGUGACGCCAAGGGGAUUCCAAGUCAUGGCACAGCAGAGCCGAGAGCAUAAGGGGCACUGAGCCUCAGGGCCAUGAACAGGAAUAGGAAGCCCAGCCCCGCUGCCCACCAACCUUGCUGGAGCUGGGAGGUCUCCCCUCUGGGCAGACAGAAUAUUCUGGAAGCAAGAGAAGACGGCACCUGCUGGCAGGGCCUGUGCUCAGCCAGGCUACACUCCUGUCCCACACUGUCCUGCUGUCCCUUUCCUCUGGGACUUUGCUUCUCACCUGCCCCUGACUCAACCGCUCCUGGAAGCCGGCCUCCUCCCUUUCUUCCUCCGAGGACCCAGCCUGUGUUGACCCCGACUCUGUUUUCUGCCUUAGCCUUCUGCUAUGCAGAAUAUUAGUCUGUUUUCUUCAAACAAUGCAAAGUUGUUGUUACUCUAACAAGGCCCUAUUCUAAGCAUAAUAUUGAUGCAACCAAU